GAUGAUUCUUUGCUAAUUUACAGAACUCAAAUCGUUGGUUGGCCUCCGGUGAGAUCUUACCGUAAGAACAACAACAGUGUGAGCUAUGUGAAAGUGAGUAUGGAUGGAGCUCCAUACCUUAGGAAAAUAGAUCUCAAGACAUACAAAAACUAUCCAGAGCUUCUCAAGGCAUUAGAGAACCUGUUCAAGUUCACGAUCGGUGAAUACAGCGAAAGAGAUGGAUACAAAGGAUCUGGAGUUGUACCAACGUACGAGGAUAAAGAUGGAGAUUGGAUGUUGGUUGGUGAUGUUCCAUGGGAUAUGUUCUCUUCCUCUUGUAAGAGACUCAGGAUCAUGAAAGGAUCUGAUGCUCUUGCUUUGGACUCGGCCUUAUGAUGAUGAUUAUGAUGAUGAUGAUGAUGAAAGCUUUUGAUGGAUGAAACCCUUUUUGAUUUGAUUCUGAUCGGAGUUUGAGUAGUUGACCACACCAAAAACAGAACAUGUCAGGGUUUUGUUCGAUGAGAUAGAUCCAUCUUCAAGGGGUUUUCUUUUUGUUUUGUUGGAUCCUUGUUUUUAGAUUUGCAGUUUGAUGUAAAGAUAGAUGAAAUUUUUGUACAAUACGGACAUAUACACAAUAUAGAUGCGUAUGUAGCAAUAUUUUGACGAAAAGUCUUUAAUUUCAUAGUGAUAACUACAAUAAUUUACAAUAAAGAAUCUCGUAGUAUUCUUUAGGAGAGGGCAAAAUAAGGUUGGAUUCGAUCAGAAAAUUUUGGAUAUUUGUAACUCCAACCAAAAAAAACACUUACAUUCAAUUAUAGUUAAAAACUGAACAAAUUAUAUUUACUAAAAUUUUAGAAGAUGUGUGUGUUUAUUAUAUUUAUAUGAAAGUUUUAUAUAUUUUUCCUAAAUUAUUUAUUUAGUUAUUAGAAUUUUUAAAAUUAAACAACAUUUUAUUUCGUAAUAAACAUUAUUAUAAUAUGUCAAAUUUCGAAUUUUUUAAUAAAAAAUAUUUUUACAUUUAAAAAAAAUAUUAAUCAAGAAACAGGCCUGAUAAGAGUUUCCAAACCCCAACUGACUUGAGUUCAUUGAUUUUGGUUAUGUUCUAUGUGGUUGCGAGGUGUUCCACCUGCGAUGAUCAGAUAAGCGAAGAAGGUGAAAUCUACAUAAAGCUUGAAUGAAUUGGUACAUUUGAUAUAGCAACGAAAUUAUAUAUAGUAUUAGUUUAACCCCUGUAUAUUAUUUGAGAAGCAUUACAACUUUUUUUUUACCCACGUGUCAUCACUAAAAUGAUUAUUAGAAUAAUUAGAAAAAUAGGUUGGUUCAUCUAAGUAUAUAAUAAUCUUUUUAUUAAACUAACCAUAAAUACAUUAUUAAUGUGCUUCAUUAUUUCUUUAAAUAAAAUUACGGAAUUGUCUAAUGUAGCUAAAGUAUAUAUGACAAUUAAUGAUUUUAAAUAUUAAAGAUUUGAUAAAAAUAAGUGUAUCUUAUGAUAUAUUUGUUUAAUUUUAAACUGUUAAAAUAAAUUCAACAACCAUAUUAACCAUAUAAUAAAGAAUAAAAACUUUCUUUAUAUGUUAUAUUUUAAAUUUAUAAAAACGAGUAUAAAUUACUAAAAUUGUUAAAAAUUUCACAUUCAAAUUUUGUGAUCCAUGGUUUAAAAUUUUUGUUAUGACAUGAUACAAAUGAUUAAAAAUCAUAUAAGUCGAAAGUCUCAUUUAAUAUGUAUUAAGAAUAAAAGAUUUAUAAAUAUAUAUAUAUAUAUAUAUAUAUAUUACUUAAAUAUCUUAAUUUUAAAAUUUACUUUGAACAAUUUUUUGAUAAAAAUUUUAAAAAAAUAUUGACAACUUAAUUUUUAAAAAUAUUAUAAAUUACUUAAGCUAUUAAUCCUACAGUGAAAAUUUUGUUAUCAGUAACUUAAUUUUUUUGCUAUAACAGAUACAAAUGAUUAAAAAAACAUAAGAGUAGAAAGCAUCAUUUAAUAAAUAAUAAUAUUAAAAUAUACUAUAUAUAUGUUACUAUCAUUUAAAUUUAAUUAUAUACCAUAUCAAAUAGAAAAAAUAUUGUUUGGAUUAAUAAAAUUUAUUUAUAUGUUAACACCAAUUUAAUUAUAUAAAUAAUAGUUACUAGCUUCUUAAUUAUUUAAUAUAUAUUUAUUAUUUAAUAAUAUUUUAGAAACAUAUAAUAUAUAAAAUCAUUUAUAUAUAAUGUUCAUCCGGCGUAAGGCGCGGAUCUUAACGUAGUUUAUUUUACUUCGUAAGACAAGCUAGGCAAGAUUGUUUUGCGUGAAAUUUGGACACGAAGACACCAAGUAAUUGUAUUUGUUUCCAGUUAAUUGGGAAAUUAUGAAUAAUUAGGAUAAGACUUACGCCGUACGCAAAGUGAAUUUAUAUAAAAAUUACUUAAGAAAUAUCACAUAGAAAAAUAAAUUUAUAUUCUUGAUCGAAUUAAUAUUUUUGACCCUUCAACAAAUUGUUAAUUACAUAAUUUGUUUACUGAUGAGUUGAUCCCAUUUUUUAAAAUAUUUUAAGUCAAAAGAAUCACUUAUCGCAUAAAAACCUAAUAUUUAGGCCGAAGAAUCUCAGGCCUACUAUAUGGUUACAAUGAAACUAUAUCAGCUCGGUUUUAUAUCAUGAUUUAGCAAUUUAAAAUUUAAUUAUGGUUACGAGAAGUUUACGUUCACGUGCCCAUCCUAUGUAUGUUCAAUAUUUUUUUCAUUUUUGUGUUGUUUUUUUUUCAUUUUGGUUAUUGCUCGAUAUAAAUAUUGAUUUUUGAGUUUAUUCUCAUUUCGUUAUUUUGUUUUGGUCCGAGAUUUGGAAAAUGUUUAAGAUUUAAAAUUAUUAAAGAGAUACAUACUUAGGUUAAGAUCUGGACCUUGUGCAGAAUAAAUAUUUUAUAUUUAUUAUUUUAUGUUUUUCUGCAUAUUAUGAAAUGAUAAAAUAAUAAUUAUAUAUUAAAUAACUAAGAAAUCAGUUACUAUUAUGUAAUAAAUUGGCAGUUAGGUCAAAUAUUUAUUGUAAAAUAAAAUUUUGCAGCUGACCAUGAGAUCAAGAUAAACAUGAUUGCAUCAUACAGAAGCAUUCAACGGAGAUCUCCCACAUACAUCCAAUGUUUCUGACUAUAAUUUACGAUAUAAAGUAAACUAUAUAUGAUCAUAUCUGCCGGUAAUAAUAAAAAGUAGUGAAUAAUACUGCAAAAACUUCUUUAAUCAUAUAUUUUUGGAUGAUUCUAUAUUCUAGUAUUAAUCAAGAAAACAGAACAAAGAAAAGUGCAAAGUGAAGAAUUUGAUGAAGUGUAAAUCUAAGAUUCUGAUCUCACUCUCUUCCAAAAAGAAAUAUAUCCCUUGCCUUCCGAUCAAGGAGACUUGACUUUCUUUUCUCACACGCAUCUCAAAUACUUCCGAUCAUUUAUUUUUCCUCCUCUGCAUUUUGUAAAUCUCUAUAAUAUUAUUUGAUAAUUUAGUUUCCUAUGUGUCGAUUUUACAUUAACUAUCGCGAAGGUUGAUUACACUGAUAUCCUUUUAAAAAAAUUUCCAAAAACAUAUAAUAAGAAAGGAAAAUUUUUAUAGUUAAAAAAAAUUGAAAACGAAAUAUAUGUAUAUAUUAUAUGAUUUCAUAAAAAAAGGAAAAUUCACAGAAUAGUAAAAUUACAUUUAAAAAAUAUUUUUAAAUAACAUAAAAUAUACUUUUGAAGUAAUAAAAUACUUUCUUUAUAUCUAUAUUUUCUUAGAUGAAAAAAUAUAAAUUUGUAUAUAAUGUGAUUUCAUUAAAAACAAUUUACACAGAUAAUCUUGAUAUUAGAAAAAGAAAUAAUAUUUAUUUUAAAACAUAAUUUUAAACAAUGCAAAAAAGUUCAAAGUAAUAGAAAUAUUUUUAUAUAUAUAUCUAUUUUCUUAGAUGAUUACAUAAAAUAAUUAAGUAACAUAAAGUGAUAUAUGUUUAACUAUCUAAAAAUAGUUUAUAAUUUGUAUUAUUAAAGUGUUUUAUUUAUUUUUCAUAUAUUUUGUUGACUAUAAUAUCUUCCAAUUACAGCAAAAAAAAUAUCGAUAAAUUAUAUUUUACUUAUAUAGUACUAUUUUCAAAUAAAAUCACAAUUUUGUUUACUGCUUAUUUUACAGAGAUAUUAAAAAAAAUCGUUUGAUCAAAUAGUUACAAAAUAGUUUAAUGAGGUAGAUAUAUUAUAUUUUAUCAUUAUUAAAGUUAUUUGUUUUCUUAAUAUUAAAUUUUCUUUUAAAUUUUAUGCUUUUAUGUUUGUGGAACUUAAUAUAACCAUCAUCAAAAUAUCAAAGCAAAUCUGAAUUCUCAUUUUUAAAAUUAUUUAAAAUAAAUUUCAGUUUCCAUUCAAUCAAUCAAAGGCAUAAAGUUAUUUAGAAUUUAUAAAAUAUUUUAAUUAUUGUAAAUAUUAAUAUGUGUUCAUGAGCUUCCAAAAAUGUAUCACCUACUUAUGUAUGUAACUUCCUAUUGAGCAUCGCUUUAUUUUAUAAUAUAUUUUAAAAAACAUCAACAUAUAAUUUGAUAAAUAUUAUGAAAAUACGUGCACAUUUAAACGAUAAAUAAAAUUGAUUUGAUUUGCUUAGUUAUAACAAAAAUUAAUUAUACUUCAUUUGAAUUUGAAAGAAUAUAUGUAACUCAAUAUACUCACAACAUGAGUGACUCGACUAAUCUAACUUAUAUCUAAAAUCAUAGAUUUAACUACGAUAAGAAUAUAUAAUUUUAUAAGAAUGGUAAUUUAUUUCAUAAAUUUAAAUCAUAUGACAACUCAAGACAUAUUAAAAUGAAAAUAAAAUUUAACCAACUGUUAUAAUUUAAUUAUUUCCUAAAAUUUAUAUAUACGCAUGAUACUUCAGAAUAUUAUUGUUAUAUUAAUUUAUGUAAUUUGGAAUCAGACACUUUAGUCUAUUUUUUUUAUUCUAAGCACACUAUAUCUUAAGUUAUACAUAAUCAUCGUAAAAUAUGUUCACAUAUUUAAGACAACAACCACCUAAAUUCAAAUAAGAAAUUAAUCAAAAUUUUAAUAUAUUUAGAAUAAAAAAAAUUAUAGUUGAAUUUAGAGAUGCAAUCCAAAUUACCCAAAUGAUAACUAAAUCGACUGUAAAAACAACAAAAUCGAUUAGAUAUAACAUAUAUAAAAUCAUAUGUAUUAUUAAAAUAAUAUAAUAUUAUAAAUAUAAUUGAUGCAUACAAAAUUAUAAAUUAAUUUAAAAUUAAAAGUAAAUAGCAAUCAAUUAUUAUAGUAUAUUUACUUCAGAAAUAUUUAUAUCCGAGCACGAGCACGGAAAAAUCACCUAGUAUAUAUUUAAAAAAAAAAUCACUUAAUAGUGGGAUCUAAACUAUCCUCUCUUGCAAUUUACAAAAAAAAAAAAAAAAAACUAGUAUCCACUCGCGCAUGCUUCUUUUAAUUAGUGAGCAAAUACAUUGCAUGAGUGCAUAACUGAAACAAUACAUGAAACUCUGACAGUCAUAACCUCUGAAAUAUACAUGAGAAGAUAGUUAGAGAGACUACGUAUCUUGCAUCUACGUAUUUAAUUAUCUAAACUUUGGGAUACUGGAGGAGUCAAGAACAUAGAAGGAAUCUUAAUAUCAAAAGUAGGAAACACAUAUAUUUAAUAUUGGUAAAUUCAUUGAAUGAAGCCUAACAUAAACAUCAAAAGCAUGCAUGCAUGCAUGCGGAUUAGAAGCUAAAUGAACAUAGUUACGCGUAAACUAUGGAGGAAAUUAAAAUUACCACCUUGGUUCAUACUUUUAGGUUCUACGAUUCAAUGUAUAUAUAGAACGUGGAGCCUCUCCCCAUAACCCAGUUUUAAGGAAAAUCAUUUAUGAAUAAAAGAGACAAAUGUAUAAGAAAGCACAUGGCUUUACCAUUCCUCUAUCAAUUACCAGCCCAUUUCCCUUAUCCACAUGGGUCUCUCUCCUUAUUCUCCUUUUAUCUAAAUUAUCAACUUUUUCCAAGUCACACUAUACAAACGGCGGUGCAAAUUAUGAUAGAGGAUAAUUUUCCCAUGAUACUAAAACUAAACACCCAAAAAUAAUGUAAUAUGAAUAAUAUCGGUACAAUCUUAGAUUUUAGACAUAAAGUGAGAGCAUUAUAUAUAUAUAAAGUAAAAUAUAUCAAUACGCGCAAUUGAUAAAUGUGAACGAUCGACAUCAGCAAAAACUGCACUUGUAUGCAACUUCAAAAAGUUGAUGAUCUAGAAGAGGACUUGGAAAAUCCCAUCCUUGAAUCAUGGUUCAGUGGCAUUAUUUUCUCUCUCUUUUGUUUUAGUAGAAGUGUCAAUGUUACAUUUUCCACAUGAAUUAAAAAGUUGUAAAUACUCUAUUAUACCCUUUCAAAAUAACCUUAAAUUUUAAUUUUAAAAAAACAACAUUAAAUUGUAUUAUAUGGUACAUUUUUAUUUGUUUAUAUGAUAAUAGGGAAAUUACAACAAAACUUUUUUCAAACAAUUUUUUUUUAUUGAACUUCUAGGAAGAAAAUGGUUUUAGCCCAAUUAUACUCCAAAAUAGCGUAAAAGUAACAUUUUACUCUAAUUCCUACUUUUUUCUUUCCUCCGUCUAUAUUUAGGAACAACCAACUAUCUUGAAUAUUUCAAAACAACACUAACUAAUACAAAUCAGCCUACUGAUUAUCAACACUCGUAAAAACUAUAUAAACUUUUAAAAGAUGCAAACACACAAGAAACACUUAAUAAAGUAAUAUCAUAAUACUUUUUUAUGUUUGCUUUAUUUCCGGGUCGGCCAAUAGACAUCCAAUUCGCAUUCAUCAUUUUUUUAAUCUCCUUUCUUUGGUCCUUUAUAAUAAUAGUAUAUCCUUUGUAAAAGAAGUGUAAAGACAUCGACGGCAAGAGAGGUAGCGUAAGCAAAGUUGGCGGAGGCAAAUAAGGAGCGUGGAAUAAAGAAAGAGUCGAGUCCACAUGGGCGGCCAUAGCGUUUGUGUCCCACCUUUGUCCCCUUGCCUCUUUCUUGCCUUUCAUGCUCCCGACAACAUCUCUCUCUCUUCCUUUAACCCUAACUUCUAUGCAUCUUCUCCCUCCUGUAUAUAUCUCUCUUUCUCUAAACCCAUCAUCAACCAAACUCACAAACAAGAACAAGAAGAAGAACAAGGAUUCUGCUUUGGAUAUAUUACACAGAGACAUAUAGAGAGAGGUGUCUUGAUCUUGAAAAAAAUGGCUUACGAGAAAGUCAAUGAGCUUAACCUUAAGGACACAGAGCUUCGUCUUGGAUUACCCGGAAUAGAGCAAGAUAAGGAAGAACAAGAGGUUUCUUGCGUUAGAAGCAACAAGCGUCAACUACAAAGCGAUAACGAGGAAGAAUCUACACUUCCUACGAAGUAAGUAAAGAUUUGAGUUUCAAUCUAUUGUUUCAAAUUAUCUAUGAAUUGUUGUACUAAUGAUGAUUCUUUGCUAAUUUACAGAACUCAAAUCGUUGGUUGGCCUCCGGUGAGAUCUUACCGUAAGAACAACAACAGUGUGAGCUAUGUGAAAGUGAGUAUGGAUGGAGCUCCAUACCUUAGGAAAAUAGAUCUCAAGACAUACAAAAACUAUCCAGAGCUUCUCAAGGCAUUAGAGAACCUGUUCAAGUUCACGAUCGGUGAAUACAGCGAAAGAGAUGGAUACAAAGGAUCUGGAGUUGUACCAACGUACGAGGAUAAAGAUGGAGAUUGGAUGUUGGUUGGUGAUGUUCCAUGGGAUAUGUUCUCUUCCUCUUGUAAGAGACUCAGGAUCAUGAAAGGAUCUGAUGCUCUUGCUUUGGACUCGGCCUUAUGAUGAUGAUUAUGAUGAUGAUGAUGAUGAAAGCUUUUGAUGGAUGAAACCCUUUUUGAUUUGAUUCUGAUCGGAGUUUGAGUAGUUGACCACACCAAAAACAGAACAUGUCAGGGUUUUGUUCGAUGAGAUAGAUCCAUCUUCAAGGGGUUUUCUUUUUGUUUUGUUGG
rnacentral:lncRNA from 1 species